ACUCUGAACACCAGAGUGAUUCCUCCUGUCCUCAGAUUCAGCUUUCCCCUUUGCCAAGGGGACGCCUGCGGAAGUGUCUUCUUGGUGAUUAUUAAUAGGAUAAUGUUUAUGUAUGCUCUCCUCUGCCCUGGAGGAGUGUUGUGAUAGAGGGAAGGCUCGCAGCACCACUGACCUUGACUGAGGGGAAUGAGGGAGCAGAGAAUGUAUGUUUCUGUCAGAGGUUUUGACUCCUGUGAAACUUUUAAAACAUUUGAAACUUACCUUAUCACGAGCUAGAAAGUAACACUAAAUUGAACGCCCAUUUACGCUAAAGAACAGGUGAUGGCUUUCAGUCUAAAAGAAACUUCAAGGGAAUGAGAGAUCUCGUUUUCUGGUUUGCUUGUGUGCUGAAGAGGUGUCCUUCUGACAGAGAAAAAUGCUAUUUUGUACACACUAUUGUACACAGCAACCUUCAAAGCCACAUAGUCAACAUGUGUUCCAGGAACAGGAAUAUUCUCAGACUUCUUCAGCCUCCAGACGUUCAAUGUGAGCGCCGUGGUCCGAUCAUACGACCCCAACAUUGGAACGGUCACCUAUAAUUCUGAGCUCAAGUACUUUUACUCCUGUGCUUACCCUCUGGAGUGCCUCGUCAAGAACACCCUAGUGGACAUGUCAGCCUCCUCCGUUACUGUGAAGAACAACAAUGGUAGCUUCAUCAGUGAGUUUAUCAUCUGAGCAAUGCCCUGUUAAGGAUGCAAACUAUACCACACCCCUGGUUAUCCCUUCUCUUAUUGAGCACUAAUGUCUACAUUCAGGUUUUAGCUGCCAACCUGACUUGCCAAUACCAUGUGCUUCUGGACUGAUGGUAUGUGUCCGUCUCCCCACUGCUCUCCAUCUCAACAUUCUUUCAUCUCUUUGUAUCGUAAGUCAAUAAAGAAAAAAACAUCUUCAAUCAAAUAUUGAAAAAGUGGUUAGUUGCCCGGUUCAUAUCAAAUGAGUAUUCAUUGUUUUUUAUUUUUAUUUUUACAUCACCUUUCUUUAACCAGGUAAGCUAGUUGAGAACAAGUUUUUAUUUGCAUCUGCGACCUGCGAAUUAACAAGCGUACAGUCAAUAACACAAUAGAAAAAAAAGAAAGUCUAUAUUUAAGUCUAUAUAUUGUAAUACUGGGCUUGAUUAAACAUUUUGCCUCCUUUGCAUUCAGACACAGUGCACCUGCUCACUAGAUAAUUUAACUAUCUCCAUCCAGGUUCCUCUUUAUCUAGUAAGCUCAAUGCAAAAUGGAGGAGUAGCUACUUUGUCUAGGCACCAAGGGGCCAUGUUCAAUCAUUAAUAAUCUUUCUGUAUCUAGCAGUCUGUUGUCCUGCCUGUGUGCAAAUGGGCAAUUGUGAGGUGAGGUUCACCUUUUUUGUAAAGCUGCUCCAUUGAUCAGAUGACCACCAUGCUGGAGAAUGGAGACAGCCAGAAGGCCUGUUUCUACUCUGUGAUUGCACCACUUGCAGCAACUUCCAGGUACAGUACUAUUGAUCUGACCACACAACGUUAGGCCCAAUCCAUCCACAACAGAUGUCACAGCUGUAGUUGUUGUCAGAUUUACAAAUUAAAGUAAAAAAGUUAGAAAACGAAGGGUAUCCUCCAGAAGUCACAUUUGGCCUGUCUAAGUUUACAGCCCGGUCUCAUACACUAAACAUAACAUAGUAAACGAGGGACACUGUUUGGUAUGGUUUUAUGAGAGGGAAGGUAAAGGCAAAAAA